CAGAGCCUCGCGUUCCUUCCCGAGGAUCGCAGGCUCGGGGAACGAGAUUGACCUACCAGUCGAAGUGGGUCUCACUUAACUAAAAUCAGGCCUAUCCUUGAAUAUUGUUCUCCAGUGUCGGAUGGUCUGCCACGAUAUCUAAAGGACGAAUUGGAACGUGUGCAAAGGAGGAGUCUACGAAUUAUUGGCCUCCCGCAUUGUUACCUCCCAACUCUCGAAGAGAGAAGAAUUGAAGCCACAUCGAGAGAACUCGAUACUAUAUCUUAGGUAAUCCAAGUCAUAUCUUUUAUCAACGAACUAUGGAACAUAAUAAACAUAACUAUAAUCUUAGGCGUAGAGACGGUACAUUUAAAUACGCACCUUUUUCAGGUACUGGACGACACAGAAAUAGUUUUAUCCCUAACUUUGUUUUUAUUAACUUUUUACUACUUUCCUAGACUUGUAAAUAUCAUCGCAUGCCCGGUUAUGUAGACAUUGUUGUAAAUCCAUUGUAUUUCUAAACUAAAGAUGGAUCAAUAAAAUCAUCAUACAUCGGUAAAAUUCAGUUUUCCUGGACUUUUUUAACUCUUUUGCAUCACAACACAGUUGUGUCGAUCCUGAGCGAUCGACGGCUAUAAAUUUCAUACCUUCGGUUCAGUGCAUGCUAUGAAGACAGAAAUACCACCAAUCGAUUCAGAAAUAAAAGAUAGACUAGUUCCAAACGAUAGUUAUAGUCAUUAUUAACAUUGUAACGAUUUA